rnacentral:rRNA from 1 species
AAGAUUAAUACUCUUGGGGAUUGACGUUACCUACAGAAGAAGCACCGGCUAACUCCGUGCCAGCAGCCGCGGUAAUACGGAGGGUGCAAGCGUUAAUCGGAAUUACUGGGCGUAAAGCGCGCGUAGGCGGUUAGUUAAGCUGGAUGUGAAAGCCCUGGGCUCAACCUGGGAACUGCAUUCAGAACUGGCUGGCUAGAGUACGAGAGAG